rnacentral:rRNA from 1 species
UGGGGAAUAUUGCGCAAUGGGGGAAACCCUGACGCAGCAACGCCGCGUGGGCGAUGAAGUCUUUCGGGAUGUAAAGCCCUGUCAGAUGGGAAGAAGGGCACGGUGGUCAAUACCCACUGUGUUUGACGGUACCAUCAGAGGAAGCCCCGGCUAACUCCGUGCCAGCAGCCGCGGUAAUACGGAGGGGGCAAGCGUUGUUCGGAAUUAUUGGGCGUAAAGGGCGCGUAGGCGGUUUCGUAAGUCGGGUGUGAAAUCCCUUGGCUCAACCAAGUGAAUGGCAUUCGAAACUGCGGGACUUGAGUGCGGGAGAGGAGAGUGGAAUUCCCAGUGUAGCGGUGAAAUGCGUAGAUAUUGGGAAGAACACCGGUGGCGAAGGCGGCUCUCUGGACCGUUACUGACGCUGAGGCGCGAAAGCUAGGGGAGCAAACGGG